GGCCUGUCUGCAAUAGGAAUCCGAAAGGAAUUCAUCCACAAUGGACGCUCGGGUGAAGGCUUACAGUGGGAAUCCGGCACGGACCGCUCGUGAUAGAAAUUUGAAGUAGAUCGUUUGUAGCGAAAGCUCGGAGUGGGUCGCUUGCAGCAGAAGCUCGGAGUCUGGCCUUUGUAGGAGUUCGACGUGAGGUCUACCUGCAACAAGAGUUCAGGGCAGAAGUUCGGCUCCCGUAGGAGCUCGGACGAGGUCUACCUGUUCGGGGAAGAAGCUCGGCUCCCGUAGGAGUCUGGAUAAAAUCUACCUACUGUCGAAGUUCAGGGAAGAGGUCCGGCUCCCGUAGGAGCCCGGACGAAGGCUACCUGAGUUCGGGGAAGAGGUCCGACUCCCGUAGGAGUCCAGACGAAGGCUAGAAGGUGGUCAACCAUCGUAGAAACUUGGAUGGAAUCCGUCUGUCAUGGAGAAUCUGGUUGACACUGAUAGGGGUUUAUCCGUCGGCAUAACUUGGGAAUGUUGCGGAGGCUCAACUGCCGGAGAGAUUCGGAAAGAUGUCAUCGAAAGUCGGAUAUCGGUAGAAUCCCUGGAGGGUCACUCCUGACACGAACUUUGAUUGGGGGGUAUUUUAUACCCAACACUAGUCUCCCUACUUCUGAGUUUAAAUUUCGAAUGAAGGAAGUACAGAGAAAUUUUCACAGCUGAAGUUGCCCUCUCGAAUCCUGCGUGCGACCAUCCUCGGAAAUCCUGGCAUUUAAUGCGCGCGUGCUGAAGUCUUUUCAAAUCGGG
rnacentral:lncRNA from 1 species